GCAUGGAUUAAAAACUAUCAAAGCUGGCUUCUUUUAGAAAGCGCAGAACGACGAGACUGAAUGGGCGGGCGAUGAAUAGCCGAAGAAUUGUUCCCUUUUAUAACUGUCGUCCCUCAAAAGGGCUCUCCACUCCUCUCCCCCUCUGCGUGAACCCUGUAAAGUACUAGGUGUUUAGGCGUGAGCAUCAAUCCGUGCCGCAACAAGGCUGUCCUUUUGAGGAUCCGAUCUUCUCCUGUAAUUGAUACAGCGCACAAAACCAUGCCCGAUACAGUACACCUCCCUCCGAUCUAACCUCAACGCAGACGCCAAUACGAUUUCAUCACCACCACCACCACCGCCACCACCAGCCUAGCCUAGGAAACAUCUAAUCUUGCUUAAGGACACCAAAAACAGGGUGGACGAAGGAGAGUACACUUUGGAGAUAAGGACCAGACAGUCGUGUCGAUAGCGUAUCAAUCGUCAAUGCAGAUCAGCUGUGUUACACCAUGCUGCGUGUUGACAACCUGUCACCGAUCCUGAUAAGAUAGGCUGCUCGUUACCUACAUUACACUGUUAGUGGGUCCAUGAUUACAUCUAGUCCCCUGAACUUUUGUGGUCUAAACAUCCAGGGAUCACUUAGUAGUUUCAUCAGAGUCUGGAGCUUGUUGUGUAACCCCCUCUCUUGAUCUUACUCACCGUUUGUGGCAUUUUUUUCCUGGCGUUUGGACAGCCUUAUGAGGAUAUAAUGGAUUAUUACAUGGAGUGUGAUCACUGUGAUGAUCCAGCCACACAGUCGCUACAGAUCAAAUCUGAGCCGCCAGAUACCGGCUACGAGAUGCUGCCCCAAUCGACGGGUCGCCCCUACUCACAGUCCCCCUCCCUGGUCUCCCCCUCCUCCACCUCCUCGUCCACGUUACCCCCGCUCUCGAUGAAGGAGCAGUCUUCGCCGCAGUCGAUAUCGUCGGAGGGGAGCACGGGGCCCUCUGGUGUCAAGAAGAGGAAAGGUCCAGCGCCGCGCAUGGACUUGGAGUUGUGUCUGGUGUGUGGGGAUAGGGCGUCGGGAUUCCAUUAUAAUGCUCUCAGCUGUGAGGGAUGCAAAGGUUUCUUCCGAAGAAGUAUCACAAAGAAUGCAAAGUAUAAUUGCACGAGGGGAGGCAACUGUGAGAUGGACAUGUACAUGAGGAGAAAAUGCCAAGAAUGCAGACUCAGAAAAUGCAGAGAAGUCGGCAUGCUCGCAGAAUGUUUGUUAACAGAGGAACAAUGUAAAUCGAAAAGACAGAGAAAGAUGAUGAAGAAGCAGCAACAGAUCGAUCAAAGUCCGCAACAAAGCGAAGAAGAAAGCAUCCCCCUGCUCACUGAUGAGCAGAGGGAGGUCAUCGAGAAUCUUGUCAGCAUACACAAAGAGCUGGAGAUACCAGGUCCUGAGGACCUCAAGAGAGUUACGCCAUGGAAAGAGGGCCAGAACUCGGGGCAAGACUCUAGCGAUGACAACGGGCCCAAAUCGGUGCAGGCUUCAGAUAUAUACGAUACAUCAAAUCCACUACCAGGGUUAAUGCCCGUCUCAUUAACCCCCAAGAGAUCGGAAGAUGGCGAUGGAGAAGAGCUAGACGACCAGGACAACGAUGCGCUCCACCGUCGCUUCGCUCACAUCACCGAGCUCACCAUCCUCACCAUUCAGCUCAUCGUAGAGUACAGCAAACACAUACCGGGUUUCCUGACGCUGACCAGGGAAGACCAGAUACUACUCUUAAAGGGCUCGGCCAUUGAAGUAAUAAUGCUGAGAGUGGCCCUACGGUACGACCGGGAGCUCGACGCCAUCAUGUUCGGCAAUGAGAUGCCCUACACGCGAAAGCAGCUGCUAGAGGGCGGUAUCGGAGACCUGGUUGAUCCCAUGUAUAACUUUGCCAAGAGUAUGUCGGAGCUGGAUCUGGACUAUGCAGAGUUCAUUCUUCUAAUGGCAAUCACGAUAUUAUCACCAGAUCGUCCAGCCAUCAAUGAGCGAGAGCGAGUGGAGCAGAUGCAGGAGACUUACCUGGACAUGUUGCGCUCGUACCUCAAGCUGAGGCGCCCCCACGAAGUCCUUCUCCUACCCAAGGUCCUGAUGAAACUGACGGAGCUACGAAGCCUAAACAACAGCCACUCUGAGCUCUUAUUCCAACUCAAAGUCAAGGAUCAAAAGAUCCCUCCCCUCCUCCAAGAGAUUUGGGACGUGAAAUGACGCCCAUAGCCAUUCAUGUCGUUGUCGUUGCUGCCAAUCUUCUUGAACUCUGAACCCAUCUCUCUCUCUCUCUAACUCAAGGAUCAGGAGAUCCUACCCCCUUCUCCCAGAGACACGGGAGGGAGCUGAAAUGACAGCUGUAUCCCUUCAUAUCAUCGUCAUCGCCGCUGCCAAUCUUCUAGAACUCCAAAUCUAUCUCAUCUCACCUCUCUUUCUGUACAUUAAGCUGUCUUUUAGAAUGGCCAACAAGUCAAUCCAUGUACAGAAUCCAUCAAGUUCUACAACCUAUAAGAUUGUUCCUUCCAUGUCUCCUGUAAGUGCCCCCGAAAAAUCUUGAAAUUCAAACAAGGUGUAUAUGAAAUGCUGCCAAUCUUUAAAUGGACAAAACUUGGUAUAGUCUGUUACUCGUCUUGGUGUAUUAUCUAGUAGGUGUUAGACACGAGUCCAGCCAGUCGCUCUCCCUCUUGCUUCCCUAGCGCAAAUACUCUGGAGGUCUGCCGUAUGUAAGCCAAACAAAUUUGUUGAAGUGAAAUUUAAAGGAUUAGCCGUAGGAGUGAACUGUCCAAUCUAAAGGGGAAUCGUCUACUUCGCGAAACGACAAGUGAGCCUGCUCUGCCUCUAAGAGUAUAAUUUGGAUGUUCAACAAUACAAUGCUCAACAGUUGGAAUAAUUUCCCGAUCACCAGCAAAAGUAAUGUUGGAAACGCUGCAGUUUAUUUGCCUCAGGAAGCAUCUGCAACUUCGAAGGCCACUGCAGAAGGUCGCUGACAAAGAACGUUAAAUACCGUAGCAUAGAAACAGAAACUGCAGUAGAUCACGGAGUGCUUAACCUUGAGCAGGAAAAAUCCAGCAAGUUCUUGAUAAUUAAGUACAGACUAGAAGGAACCAGAAUGAAAAGUUUGGCACUUCUAUCAAGGAUCGUCGAAUCAAGCAUCGCUCGUUUCAUAGUCGAGUCCUUUCAAGGACCUGGAAGUUCACCAUAGAUCUCACCCUGCCAAAACCUGGACAGUGAUAUCACGUAGAACCUAUCACAUUCAUCAUGAUGGUAGCAUAUGGUUAAACCUUGUCGGUAAAAAUGAAUUAAGUCAUUUGCAUUCUGUGCUUAUGGCUGUAGGGGGCUUAACGACAUCUCACUGAAAUGAUUCUCAAUCCAGCCUCUAUACCAGAAUUUUUCACUGUAUAACCGUGAAACGAUAUUUUUGUACAGUUUUUGCAAGAUGCAACUUUUUCUUGUUUUUUCCCAAUGCAGUUGAUAAAUAAUACUUGUAAAUGCUUUACACUCGUUUGUAUUGAAUUCAGAUUUGCAAUUCUACCCAUUUUUUGCAUUAUUCAGAGCUAAUAUUUUUGUCCUAGGUAUAUUCAUUACAAAAUGUUCUACUUUUCUAGUUUACUCAAGUCCAAUGUUAAGAUUUCAUGUAUGUUAUCAAAACAAAAAAGAACCCGAGACAACUUGUGCCAAGACUUUUGCUCCUCGUUUGCGGCUACAAUUUAUUGUCAUCCUAGAUCUGUUCAUAUUUUGUAUUUCUUUUUCAAUUUUCAAUUAUUCCAAUUACAAAAUAGCUGUAUAUUGAGGUUGAUCAACAACGGUCGAAGGUUUAUUUUCUGUGUGAUUUUGAAGACUGGCACGUAUUAGAAAUAGACAUUGGACUUACAUUUAUCUGAAAUAAACUUCUUGCCUCUCAAAGGGAAGAGAAAAGGAAGAAAAAAUAGGAGAAAAAAUAAAAUAGAAAGAAAAAAUGUGUUUGCAAAUUGACUUGUAUAAAAGGAAGAUAAAAAUUCUGUUAGAUGUAAGUAUUUUUCCAGUGUGAUUUUGUGAACAAAAAAAAAAUUAUAGUAUGAUGUAGAUUUAGGUAUUGAUGCAGGUGAUGUGUAUAGAGGAAGCAGGGAUGAAUAAUUAGCCAUUAUCCGGCCGGAAUUCAUGAGAGAGUUUUGUAGAUGUGGCGAGAAGGAGAAGUAUAUAGCAGUAUCGAGACUAAUAACACUAAUAAGAAUAAUAUUAAUAAGAGUAAUAUUGAAGAAACAGCUGUUUUUGUAUACUAGUUUGGAGCCACUAGAAGUGGUGCUUGUGUUGGUCUGUGUACAUUGUAAAUACUCUUGACUGCAAACAGUUAACCACCUAGACUUGAAAUCCAGUUGUUUUUCCACCUAGCACUUCCGUGCUUCCAGACUCUACAAAAGACAUUGAAGAAGACACACAAAAAAGAGAGUUGUGUGAUGGAUUUUACGUGUACAUGUAUAUGUUGUAUUUAGGUUGAGACUAUUUGACUUUGUUUGAAAACCAAGGAGACAAAUUUUAUCACGCGCUUUAUUUCUAUUAUUUUCUCUCUAUCAUCAAGGGUUUGAUUGUAAAUGUUCAGAAUAUGUGUAUCAAGAUUAAUUUUGUUUUUUAAUGUAUUUCAUGAUUUUAAAGGAUUCUGUAUGAAAUUUUGUUCCAUAGGAUAUUGUAUGGAGAGAGAGGCGUAUGCAGGAUUCGAUAUGACAUAACUCUCUUCAAAUUUUAUAUUUUGUUUUCUAAUUAUAGGCCUUACAAACUUCUAGCCAACGUAUUAAAGACCAACUAAUGUUGAUUAAUCAGCUGAACUAAGUAAUUUCAAUCAGGAGUUAAAAAACAGCCGGCAUCCUGUUACACAUUUCCAGUAGCAUAAAUGCUUUUUAUAGGGGUUUAAACCAUAGCUAGCAGAGGAGAGAGAGUUGUGACAUGCUUGUUAGGUCAACUUCGUGGAGCACACAAUGGUUUUCUCCCAUAGAGAUUGUAUGUAGUGGGAGGGAGCUUUUGGGAGCUCCAUGAAUUGACCUUUGAGCAUGCAUGUGUCACAACUACCUGAAAACAGAAAUACAGUCAGUUAUAUCAGUCCUUACAUAAUUCACUGUGUUAUUCCAACUUUUUUAAUUUGAGAAUCCAUGCACUGCGUAUUUGUUUGCCAUACAUAUUGUCACUUUAAAGGCAAGAGGGAUGCUCGAUCCAUCAACAUACAGUCUAUCGUUCGUAAGUUAACCCUGUAUUAAUUUUAUCCAUGGUUGUAUGUGUAGACUUUAAUAGCAAUAACAAGGAAAAAUGUAGUGUCACCUUGCGAUAGUUUGCAAAACGUUUUUGCACAUAUUUUUGUUUUAUCAUAGAACUCUACAAGAGUCUUUUAUUUCAUCCAUUGAAGCUUUUAGAAUUACUUAUCCUAAUCAGGCCUUUUUUAAUAUUAUCCUGGAAUGCCUGUUUUCCUUUUCUUGUAAACACCAGGGAAAGCUCUUGAAACCGGUAGUGGAACUGAUCCUCUGAUAUCGGAAUUAUGAGAAACAGGAGAGCCUUUUCCCUUUCUUUUUUGUAGAGAGAGAGAAGAAAUUUACCCAAAAUUUAGACAUGAUUUUCCUUUGAAUGUUUGUCCUUAACCAUUUUUCUUUGUGCCCCCCCCCCCCCUCCUAAAGAACAAAUUCUGUGUGAAUCAAAAUUGAUGCAGAAUUUGCAUAUCUUACUUUUCCUUUUUUUGAUAGUGUCCCCCUCCUAGAAAACAAAUUCUGUGUGAAUCAAAAUUGAUGCAGAAUUUGCAUAUCUUACUUUUCCUUUUUUUGAUAGUGUAUUCCUCGCGUUCAUUUUUAGUUUUCUGCAUGUACAAAUUGUUUACGAGUUAUGUAAGAGGAGGAGGAGUUACAUUGUAUACAAACAAACAAACAGAAAUAUGCUGCCAAUUUCUUUUAUUUACUCUCAUUUAUAAAGAAAACAAAUCCCACAAAAUGUCACAUUUCAAUGUCUGUCAAUUGAAAUGAAAAUGAAAAAAAAUACAGACAUGUGUUUUUGACUUUCUGAUGUACAUAUUCCUGAAGAUUUAUCAUUUCAUAUUGCAAUAGCAAAAGAAAUACAUUUAAUAAGGUGGUCAUUUUAAUUUUUCUCUUUUUUUAUUUAGGAUUUUAUUUGAGUAUUUUUUAAUUGCAAUUAUAUUUUGUCUGUCUGUAUGUAUGUAUAUUCACUACUUUUUAAACAAUGAAAAACGAUUACUGUUCUUUAGAAGAAGUCAUUACUCAUGUGUUGGGCGAUCAAUUAAUGAAAUAGUCUCUUUCAUGUAUGGUACAAAAGUGCAUGGUCUUCAAAUUGGAGUGGAUGGGAAAAUGUGUCAAUUUCCGUUUAAAACAAGCUCCUAUUUACUUUAACCAAUUCAUAAAAGCUAGCCCUCGUAUUCUAGCAUUUUCAGAGAAAUCUGUAUAGAAAGACAACCCAUGUGAGACACAAUAGGUGGCCUUUAUAGGCAGGUCUUUCAGGCAGACAAUUCUGUGUUGUUGGGAGGAGUUUUUAACAUCUCGUGACCUUUGAGGCUCUCCAUCAGCACUGGUAGGAGAAGUAUUCGAUUCAAGCUAGACAGAGUCUCAGAAAUAGACUGACUCUUAGAUCUAGUGGUCUUCGUGCAUACAGUCAUGUAGGUUUCAAAUACAUUUUUAUUCUGCCAACAAGUUCCUCAUAUUUUUGACACAUCAGGGGAUAAAGUGAAGGUACGCACAGAGGUCUAUUCCCACGAUGCUUUAAAGAUGUGGUGGGCAGCCCUUAUUGCAUGUGGCAUCUAUAUACAUGCGCAUUUGACCAUGUUAUGUCAGAGACUAAUUAAUAAAUACAGAGAGAAAUUCAUGUAUGGUGCCCCAACGAUUAUAUCCAUUGCCAGACCAGGGUGAUGAAAUUACUUCAUAAAUGUGUGUGUGAUCACAAUGGUGGGAGCUUGCUAUGUUUCAUGUAGUCAUGGUUACAACUAGUCAGGAGGGCGGGGCAGGGGAGGGUCCAGGGGGGGGGGGGGGGUGUUUGCAAGCAUCUUGGGUCUUGUUUCUAUUUUGGGUUUUUCUUUUCUGCGUUUUUGAUUUGCCUGGACUGUGAUGUUAAGAAUGUGCGUCUCUAUCGGACACUAAACAUGACCAAAAUUUGAAUACAGAGAAUCUCCACCUGU